AUGGAGCCAUGGGAGCGAAGCGGGAGCGCCAGCGUGAAGAAGCCCAUGACACCGCCGGCGCCGCCCGCGGACGCUCUCGGCGAGGAUCUCCUCGGCGAAAUACUCCGCCGCCUCCCCGACAUGGCGUCACUCGCCAGCGCCGCCCUCGUCUGCAAGGGCUGGGGCUGCGUGGCCUCCGACCCGGACAUCUUCCGCCGUUUCCUCUCCUUCCGCACGCCCCCACUCGUCGGCGUCAUCCUCACCAAGCGCGACCGCAAGUGCGCCGCCCGCCGCAACCCUAAUCUCCGCUUCGUCAGGGCCUCCUCGACACGUAACCCCAAGCUGGCCUCAGCCGCGGCGCAUGGCGAUUUCUACUUCCAAGGCCACCCCGAGAUUGAAGGUACCGACAGGUGGCGCCUCCGUGGCUGCGACGGCGGCCUCCUCCUCCUCUCCUGCGGCCGCUAUGCGUCGAACCUCGCCGUCUACGACCCUCUCCAGCGGACUGCCAUCUUCUUCGAGCCACCCGCGGGCUGGCACAUGGUCCGCUACGCCAUCGUCGCGGACGAGGUCGGCCCCUCGUUCCAGGUCAUCGCCAGAUGCCCCUGGUACAGCCAUCGCUUCGCCGUCUUCUCCUCCCGCGCCGGCAAAUGGGUGGUGGCUAACUCGUUCCGCCACAGUUGUAUCUGCGCGGAUGACGGUAUGGCCGCUGGGCGGUUCGCGUACUGGCGGUCCGACACCAAAAAGGACCAGAAUGAGAAAGAAGAUCAGAUAUUAGUGCUUGACACGAAAACCAUGGUGUGGUCGGUUAUAACCGCGCCGUUCCCGGCUGGCGAGUCGUACUGCAUGGCGGACAUGGCGGAGCACGGCGGGCUGUGCAUCGUGUCCAGCAGGGAGCAAAGCGUGCUGCUCUGGGUCCGUGAUAUCAGUGGUGGAUGGGUGGUCAAGAAGGAGGUCUCCUUGCUGAAUCAGUUCGGGUUCUUGAAGAGGAUUCGUCGCGACGAAUGGAUGAAGAGGCUGUGCAUCCUCGCAAUGAAAGCCGGCUAUGUCUACAUGGAGUUCUGGUCCAUAAGGAAGUCUGAAUCCUAUAUUCUUGUGCUCAAUCUGAACACUGUCAAGCUGCAACAAAUCUUUCGCAACAAUGCGGAUGAGCGCUACAGAGGUGCUGCUUUUCCAUUCUUUCUGCGGUUGUCACCACUGCCUGCCGCAGAUGAUGACAAGGAGCUUCAAGAUGCUUGA
rnacentral:rRNA from 1 species